rnacentral:rRNA from 1 species
UACGUAGGGCGCAAGCGUUGUCCGGAAUUAUUGGGCGUAAAGGGCUCGUAGGCGGUUUGUCGCGUCGGGAGUGAAAACACCGGGCUUAACUCGGUGCUUGCUUUCGAUACGGGCAGACUUGAGGCAUGCAGGGGAGAACGGAAUUCCUGGUGUAGCGGUGAAAUGCGCAGAUAUCAGGAGGAACACCGGUGGCGAAGGCGGUUCUCUGGGCAUGUUCUGACGCUGAGGAGCGAAAGUGUGGGGAGCGAACAGG